CAUCGAAAACUCAAGUACUGAUGGAGGUUAGGGAGCAGCUACCAUGGUCGGAAAGGAUGUGCACACACCUCGAAAAAUGCAAUUCUAACAAGUUCUGCCUCUAUCAUCAUGACUACGGCCACGACACGGAGGAGUGCAUUCAGCUCUGAGAUGAGAUCGAGGAGCUCAUCAGAUGAGAUCGAUUCGACAGAUUCAUUCGAUGUCGACCUGAAGGUAGGAA
rnacentral:lncRNA from 1 species